rnacentral:lncRNA from 1 species
CUUGAGAAGAGUUCAGCAAAGCUUCAGGAGUGUCUUGAAGCAUCUAUCAUGGGUGAAGUCAAGUCCAAGAAUGGCUGAGACUGAUCUUAAGAAGGCAUGGAAGGAGUUUGGAGGUGUAUGGUCGAGUGGGCAAACUUAGGGCGUGGCCGUACGGAGUUGGUACGGAAGUGUACGGACCGUACGGAUCCGUACGGACCAAGCCGACCCAAAAGUUUGUAUCUCGACCAUCUGAGCCUAUUUAGAGUUGGUGCAAAAAUAGGGCACAGGUCAGUUCUUAAGAGAAGAAGACAAAAGAGACUCUUAAGAGAAGAAGACAAAGAAGAAGGCUGUGUGUGCAAAGGAGAUUGGCGCCUGGUUUGUGAUAGGCUGUGGCAGUCCAAGACAGGCUGGCUAUAGCUGGAAAGGAAGAGCAAGGCUUGACUAUGUAUCUGGCCAAAGAAGAGGGCAGAUACAUGAGCCAAUGAGGAGCAUUUCCAGCCAAGGCUUUCACUUAACCAAUCAGGCGGUUCCAACACUUUGCAAAGACCACAAGACCUGAUCCUGAGCGUCCAAUUCAAAUUAAAGCAUCUCCACCCUUCAUGUCUUAUCUGUAGCUUAGGGUUUAUGAUUUGUGCAAUGAGUAAAGCUCAUAUAUAAGCUUGCUAAUGUCGGAUUGUAAACACUAAGGGAGUAAGGGGGAUUUCCCCUCUCCACUUCAUUGUUCUGGUUACUAAUAACAUCCAGUUCUGUUCUUAGUCUUAUAUUCUCUUAAUCUCUUAGUCUCCCUAAUCUCAAAACCACUCAUACACUCACGCAUACACUCUCUUCUCAAUCUCUUACCAAAUCACCAAGAACAAGUCUCAUCUAACUCCAUUGGAGUGUAUCCACAGUCACACAUCCAACCAGAGUAGUUCUCUCUAAAAACUCAUAUGGUAUCAGAGCCAGGUUCAUCAGAACCUGAGCUGUAGCUUCCGCAAAUCACUUGCUCUCACCUCAGCUCAAAUCCAACCCUUGAAGCCUUUUACAUCCGAGUUCAGUUUCUCCAUGAAGUAGAAGACUGAAGCUGGCGUGGCUCUUAUCCUUUCUCCUGUCCAUACUGAUGGAGAGACUCAUUGGAAGCAGAGGUGUAUGGAGAGGCCUCGCGAACCUCAUCCAAGGUGCCUUGUCCAAGAGCUUUCCCAUCCGGUUCAUCAAGCAAGCUGCCAAGAAGAUGGCGCCUAGAAGAGAAGGAGAAAGGAGGGGUCUUUGAGUUAGAGAAACAAGGAGGAAGUCAUGGACUGAAGAAGCAGGAGAUGGGUAACGAUCCAGACUCACAUAUCCUCAAGGUCAUGAGCUUACCAUCCGAGAGUGAUACAAGGACCAACCUGGUUCCUUGAUAGUAAGCGAUUCUUUAAACCUUAAGUGGUAAUGAGCUUGUGAUAAAAUCUGGUUGUGUGUUGUGAUGUGAUUGAAAACCUGAGGAUUGUUUAAAGAUUGCUAAAUGAAAUGAAAUGAAUUUAGAAUCUAUCCCAGGAUGCUUAAAGAGACUUGUUGAGUUGAUUGAGAUUGUUUAAAAGGCUUAGCUCCGGUUCAUAAUGUUGCUUGUGUGGUUGAUUGAAUCUGCUUGCAUACAUAUAUAGAAACCGACUGAAAGCUAGUGCAUUUGGUCUUGGAGUUACCUUACACUGAGGCACUAGAUUCAUGUCUAGUAGCUGAGUAAGGGGCUGUCAAGAUAUUCCUAAGUAUCUCGUAAUGAAUCUGUAGGAUCAUGCUAGUACUUAGAGAGAUUAGCUUGCAAUGAUUUGAAACUUGGGUGUCUUGUUUGAUCUUGCAUUGCUUUAGUGAGUCAUUGGGUUCAAGCUUGAUGUGGAAUCAAGGACUGACCCAAUGCACCUAUGUCUUAUCUUCUCUGGAGUUUGAGUGGUGUUUCAGGUAUACAAGAAGUGUUCUUAGUUCAUCACCAAUCCAAGAGAAAGAGGAAGGCAUUGCCCAUUGUCAUGAGCAAUGGAGAGCGGUUACUGAAGUGGUGAUGUGCCACUGGUUAGUGAAGACUCACGGCUGCUCACUUCCAAGCUUGGACCCUCAUUCUAUCCAAGCUUGAGGAGGGGAGUUAAGUGAGCAAAGAAGGAAGACCAUGGCAAGCAACUGAUGGAAAAGGAGUCAUCCGGCUGUGGGAAGAACAAGGGAGUGUUCAGAGCACUCUCGGCUGUGUGAAGAUGAUGGAGCUACUCUAUCAAGGCGGCUUCCAGUGUGAGCAGUCUGAAGAGGGAGCUGAAGGUUCCACAAACAUUCCAUGGAGAUGGCGAGUUCAGAAGGUGCUGCAAGGGUCUGAUGGUGUGAUCAUGAAGCUGCUCUCCCAAGCUUGACUUGUUCCAUAUGGUCAAGCUUGAGGGGGAGUGUUGAGAAGACUUCAAUGAUCACAAAGAUGCUGGUUUACGAAGGUGGACAGCAGUGAGCAAAGAUGGAUGAUCAAGAAGCUCUCCUUCCAAGCUUGACUUGUUCCACAUGGUCAAGCUUGAGGGGGAGUGUUGAGAAGGCUUCUUGAUGAGAGCACUUGGCGGUUAAUCAAGAAGAGGAGCAGACUGGUUUGUGAAGCAAGAUGGAGGAUGGUGAAGCAAUCACCAAGGCGGCCAAAGCAGAGCAGCCUUGAUACUACAGACUGAACCAUCCGAUCAUGAAGCUUUAGAACUAGGUGGAGACUCUAGAAGGAGAAGCAGCCAAGGCUCCACAAGUUCUUGAUACUCUUGGUGCGAGUAUGAUCUGAUGGUUCCAUAUGAAGCUAGAAGAAGGUCAGACCGUGAGAAGAGUACAAGAUGAAGGGUGAUGAGCAAGGGAAGAUGUGAUCAACCUUGCAUCACAAGAAGAGGCCAUGAUCCAGAGUCUUUGUGUCCCUUACAUUGAUGGUAAGGCACAAAGACUCACUGGCCAAUCCCUAGGCCGUGGAGGCUUUACUCUUUUUCCCUCAUCAAGGUUUUGUCCCAAAGGGUUUUCCUUGGUGAGGUUUUUAAUGAGGAAGCUCUUCAUGGUUCCAAGCUUAACUCAGGAUCUCCUAGAGUUAAGCUUGAGGGGGAGUGUUGAACUGAAGAGAAGAAUGGAGCUUGUUCAUAAAUAGGGAAAGCCCUUGAAGACCUUGAGAAGAGUUCAGCAAAGCUUCAGGAGUGUCUUGAAGCAUCUAUCAUGGGUGAAGUCAAGUCCAAGAAUGGCUGAGACUGAUCUUAAGAAGGCAUGGAAGGAGUUUGGAGGUGUAUGGUCGAGUGGGCAAACUUAGGGCGUGGCCGUACGGAGUUGGUACGGAAGUGUACGGACCGUACGGAUCCGUACGGACCAAGCCGACCCAAAAGUUUGUAUCUCGACCAUCUGAGCCUAUUUAGAGUUGGUGCAAAAAUAGGGCACAGGUCAGUUCUUAAGAGAAGAAGACAAAAGAGACUCUUAAGAGAAGAAGACAAAGAAGAAGGCUGUGUGUGCAAAGGAGAUUGGCGCCUGGUUUGUGAUAGGCUGUGGCAGUCCAAGACAGGCUGGCUAUAGCUGGAAAGGAAGAGCAAGGCUUGACUAUGUAUCUGGCCAAAGAAGAGGGCAGAUACAUGAGCCAAUGAGGAGCAUUUCCAGCCAAGGCUUUCACUUAACCAAUCAGGCGGUUCCAACACUUUGCAAAGACCACAAGACCUGAUCCUGAGCGUCCAAUUCAAAUUAAAGCAUCUCCACCCUUCAUGUCUUAUCUGUAGCUUAGGGUUUAUGAUUUGUGCAAUGAGUAAAGCUCAUAUAUAAGCUUGCUAAUGUCGG